UGGGGAAUAUUGCACAAUGGGCGCAAGCCUGAUGCAGCAACGCCGCGUGAACGAUGAAGGUCUUCGGAUCGUAAAGUUCUGUUGCAGGGGAAGAUAAUGACGGUACCCUGUAAGGAAGCCCCGGCUAACUACGUGCCAGCAGCCGCGGUAAUACGUAGGGGGCUAGCGUUAUCCGGAUUUACUGGGCGUAAAGGGUGCGUAGGUGGUCUUUCAAGUCGGUGGUUAAAGGCUACGGCUCAACCGUAGUUAGCCUCCGAAACUGGAAGACUUGAGUGCAGGAGAGGAAAGUGGAAUUCCCAGUGUAGCGGUGAAAUGCGUAGAUAUUGGGAGGAACACCAGUAGCGAAGGCGGCUUUCUGGACUGCAACUGACACUGAGGCACGAAAGCGUGGGUAGCAAACAGG
rnacentral:rRNA from 1 species